rnacentral:rRNA from 1 species
UACGUAGGCAGCGAGCGUUGUUCGGAGUUACUGGGCGUAAAGCGUGCGUAGGCGGUUGUCUAAGUUUGGUGUGAAAUCUCCUGCUUAACUGGGAGGGUGCGCCGAAAACUGGGUGACUGGAGUGUCGGAGAGGUAAGCGGAAUUCCUGGUGUAGCGGUGAAAUGCGUAGAGAUCAGGAGGAACACCUGUGGUGUAGACAGCUUACUGGACGAUAACUGACGCUGAGGCACGAAAAGCGUGGGUAGCAAACAGG